UGGCUGGUGACAAUGCACAGGGCACAGCAACUGCCCCGACCCUCCCUGUCGCUGCACCCCAGCCAGGGGGUGUCCCUGGGGAGACACUGUCACCCUGCGGUGCCACCUACCCAAGCCGGCUGCCUGGGUUGAGCUCUACCAGGAUGGACUUUUGAGAUCCUACAAGGACAUGGACAAGCAUCAGGUCAUGGCUGAGUUCUCCUUGGUUUGUGUUAAAGCUGGAAGAUGCAAUGAAGUAUUGGUGCCAGUACCGGGUUUUGGAGCCACCGGGAGUAUCAGAGAAGAGUGUCCCCAUCGAAUUGGUGGUGACAGAUCAUCGAUAUUCCCCACCUAACAUUUCCAUCAGCCACGAAAAAACUGUGGAAGUGGGGACCAAUGUCACCAUCCAGUGCUGCAAUCAGGGCUAUGGGGGCAUCAUCUUCUUGCACAAGGACGGGCACUCAGCCCCUCUCCAGCACCAGGACCCCAUGGCGGGGGCACAGCCACCUUCACCCUCUUUGGGGUGACUCCAGCUGACAGUGGCACCUACAGGUGCUCCUAUCACCCCAAGGCCUCCCUCUUUGUGUCCUCACCCCUUGGGGACAGCGUGACACUGGAGGUGACACCCACACUAGCACCCCCAGGUGCUGAGUUGGUGUCCCGUGGGAACCUGGUGGUGGCAGUGGUGAGGGGCUGCGCUGCUGCUCUCAUCUUUGCCCUCGGCGUCUUCUUUGUCAACGAUGCCCGCAGCCUCUGGAUACGGAGAGAUGAGAGUCUGGGGGGGAAGGGAUUUAAUGGUUUGGAUCUCCUGUACAUCUCCUACACGUCUCCCAGUUUUCCCCUUCCACUCCUUCCAUUCUUCUGUAGAAACCACCAGGUUUCUACCAUUGGAUCCACUGAAGGUUGCCUAUCGAUUCCCUCAGAUGUUCCCUGCCCCAUCCCAUCUCCUAUAAAUCCAUCAUGUAUCCCCUGCCUCCCCUUCCAGACCCUAUAAAUUAUCUAGUCCC
rnacentral:lncRNA from 7 species